UAACCUGCGGAGGGAUCAUUACUGAGUUUACGCUCUACAACCCUUUGUGAACAUACCUAUAACUGUUGCUUCGGCGGGUAGGGUCUCCGCGACCCUCCCGGCCUCCCGCCCCCGGGCGGGUCGGCGCCCGCCGGAGGAUAACCAAACUCUGAUUUAACGACGUUUCUUCUGAGUGGUACAAGCAAAUAAUCAAAACUUUUAACAACGGAUCUCUUGGUUCUGGCAUCGAUGAAGAACGCAGCGAAAUGCGAUAAGUAAUGUGAAUUGCAGAAUUCAGUGAAUCAUCGAAUCUUUGAACGCACAUUGCGCCCGCCAGCAUUCUGGCGGGCAUGCCUGUUCGAGCGUCAUUUCAACCCUCAAGCUCUGCUUGGUGUUGGGGCCCUACAGCUGAUGUAGGCCCUCAAAGGUAGUGGCGGACCCUCCCGGAGCCUCCUUUGCGUAGUAACUUUACGUCUCGCACUGGGAUCCGGAGGGACUCUUGCCGUAAAACCCCCAAUUUUCCAAAGGUUGACCUCGGAUCAGGUAGGAAUACCCGCUGAACUUAAGCAUAUCAAU
rnacentral:rRNA from 1 species